UACGUAGGUGACAAGCGUUGUCCGGAUUUACUGGGCGUAAAGAGCGCGCAGGCGGUCGAUCAAGUCGAGUGUGAAAGCCCCCGGCUCAACUGGGGAGGGUCAUUCGAUACUGAUCGACUCGAAGGCAGGAGAGGGUAGUGGAAUUCCCGGUGUAGUGGUGAAAUGCGUAGAUAUCUGGAGGAACACCGGUGGCGAAGGCGGCAUUCUGGACCGAUAUUGACGCUGAGGAGCGAAAGCCAGGGGAGCAAACGGG
rnacentral:rRNA from 1 species